AUGACUCUCGGCAAUAGAUAUCUCAGCUCUUGCAUCGAUAAAGAACGUAGCGAAAUGCGAUACUUGGUGUGAAUUGUAGAAUCCCAUGAACCAUUGAGUCUUUGAACGCAAGUUGUGCCCGAAGCCACUAGGCCGAGGGCACGCCUGCCUGGGUGUCAUGCAUCACGUCGCCCCCUCCCCGCACCCAAAUGUGCAGCAGGGUGGAAAGUGGUCCCCUGUGCUCGGUGCCGCGCGAUCGGCCCAAAUGUGAUCCCCGGCGACGCACCUCACGACAAGUGGUGGUUGAACCCUGAACGUGCUUUGUCGUGCACCACCGUGUUGGGAUGCAUGAUCAGACCCAAUGGCACGUGCUAGCACGUCGCCUUCGACCGCGACCCCAGGUCAGGCAGGAUCACCCGCUGAGUUUAAGCAUAUCAAUAAGUAGAGGAAAAUAAACUUAUAAGGAUUUCUCUAGUAACAGAGAGCAAACUGGGAAUAGCCCAACUUGAGAAUCAAGUGGCCACACCGUUCGAAUUGUAGUCUGGAGAAGCAUCCUCAGCAGCGGACUGGGGUCGGGAGUGCCAUAGUGGGUGAGAGCCUCGUUACUCCCGGACCCUGUCGCACCAUGAGGCGCUAUCGGCGAGUCGGGUUAUUUGGGAAUGCAGCCCCAAUCGGGUGGUAAAUUCCAUCUAAGGCUAAAUACGGGCGAGAGACCGAUAGCGAACAAGUACCUCGAGGGAAAGAUGAAAAGGACUUUGAAAAGAGAGUCAAAGAGUGCUUGAAAUUGUCAGGAGGGAAAAGGAUGGGGGCCGGCGAUGCAUCCAGUUGGAUGUAGAAUGGCGAGAGCCAGUCCACCGAUCGACUCGGGGCAUGGACCAAUACAGAUCGAUGCGGCGCUCAAAGCUUGGGCAGUUGAUAUGCUCGUUAUACGACAUCGCGUCGAUCCAAGAAGACAACGCGCGCCUCAUGCGUGCCUCGGUAAGUGCGCGUUCCUGGUACUGGCCUGUGGGCUCCCCAUUCGACCCGUCUUGAAACAUAGACCAAGGAGUCUGACAUGUGUACGAGUCAAGGAGCAAUUAAACCGAUAAGGCACAAGGAAGCUGACAGCGCGAUCCCCCUGAGGGGUGCACCGCCGACCAACCUUGAUCUUCUUGAUGUAUCGUUGGAACUACUAGAUAGUUCGAUUAGUCUUUUGCCCCUAUAGCGUGUUCAGCACGUGCUCUAAAAGGGUAUUGGGUUAAAAUUCCAGAACCAGGACGCGGCAGUUGACGAUAACGUUAGGGAGUCCAGAGACGUCGGCGAGGGCCUCGAGAAGAGUUAUCUUUUCUGUUUAACAGCCCGCCCACCCUGGAAACGGCUAAGCCUGAGGUAGGGUCCAGUAGCUGGAAGAGCACUGAACGUCACGUGGUGUAUGGUUCGCGCCCGGUCGCACUCAUAACCACAUCAGGAAUCCAAGGUGAACAGCCUCUUGUCGAUAGAACAAUGUAGGCAAGGGAAGUCGGCAAAAUGGAUCUGUAACCUCGGGAAAAGGAUUGGCUCUGAGGGCUGGGCACGGGGGUCCCAGUCCAGAACCCAUCAGCUAUCAGCAAACUACUCGAGCUGCUCGCGCGGCGAGAGCGGGUCGUCGCGUGUCGGCCAGGGGACGGACUGGGAACGGCUCCCUCGGGGGCCUUCCCCGGGCAUCGAACAGUCGACUCAGAACUGGUACAGACAAGGGGAAUCUGACUGUUUAAUUAAAACAAAGCAUUGCGAUGGUCCCUGCGAAUGCUCACACAAUGUGAUUUCUGCCCAGUGCUCUGAAUGUCAAAGUGAAGAAAUUCAACCAAGCACGGGUAAACGGCGGGAGUAACUAUGACUCUCUUAAGGUAGCCAAAUGCCUCAUCAUCUAAUUAGUGAUGUGCAUGAAUGGAUUAACGAGAUUUCCAUUGUCCCUGUCUACUAUCCAGCGAAACCACAACCAAGGGAAUAGGCUUGGCGGAAUCAACAGGGAAAGAAGACCCUGUUGAGCUUGACUCUAGUCCGACUUUGUGAAAUGACUUGAGAGGUGUAGGAUAAGUGGGAGCUAAAAGGCAAAAGUGAAAUACCACUACUUUUAACGUUAUUUUACUUAUUCCGUGAAUCGGUGGCGGGGCAUCGCCCCUCUUUUUGGACCCAAGGCUCGCCCCGGCGGGCCAAUCCGGGCAGAAGACAUUGUUAGGUGGGGAGUUUAGCUGUGGCAGCACAUCUGUUAAAAGAUAACGCAGGUGUCCUAAGAUGAGCUCAACGAGAACAAAAAUCUCAUGUGGAAUAGAAGGGUAAAAGCUUGUUUUAUUCUAAUUUCCAGUACGAAUACGAACCGUGAAAGCAUGCUCUAACGAUCCUUUAGACCUUUGGAAUUUGAAGCUAGAGGUGUCAGAAAAGUUACCACAGGGAUAACUGGCUUGUGGCAGCCAAGCGUUCAUAACGACGUUUCUUUUUUAUCCUUCGAUGUCGGCUCUUCCUAUCAUUGUGAAGUAGAAUUCACCAAGUGUUGGAUUGUUCACCCACCAAUAGGGAACGUGAGCUGGGUUUAGAUUGUCGUGAGACAGGUUAGUUUUACCUACUGAUGAUGGUGUCGCAAUAGUAAUUCAACCUAGUACGAGAGGAACUGUUGAUUCGCAUAAUUAGUCAUCGCGCUUGGUUGAAAAGCCAGUGCGCGAAGCUACCGUGCACUGGAUUAUGACUUAACGCCUCUAAGUCAGAAUCCGAGCUAGACGCGACGCAUGUGCCCACCGUCCACUUCCCGACCUACAGUAAGGGCCCCAGGCACCCAAGGGCACGUGAUGUUGGCCAAGCCCCCGCAAUGGACGAGCCGCGUGGGCUGCCUCAAAGUACAAUUCCUAUCGAGCGGUGGGUAGAAUCCUUUGCAGACGACUUAAAUAUGUGACCGGGUAUUGUAAGCCGUAGAGUGGCCUUGCUGCCAUGUUCCGCUGAGAUUCAGCCCUUCGUCACUUCGAUUAGUCCACUCCCGAUCC
rnacentral:rRNA from 1 species